CUACUUGGUGGGUCUUUUGUUUUGUCUCUUUCCAUUUCCAAUCAUCAGAAUGAACUUCCCUUUUGACUUCAGAUUCUGCUCAGCAGUUCUUAACAUGGCUAGCAGUUCAGAAAGAAAUUUGUCCAUAUCAUUGAUAUUGAAAUUAAGGACAAAUUGACUGAAUCUAUCUAGAAACGAUUGCAAGAUCAAAUCAGUCGCAAGUUCCUUUCUGAGGGGAAAACCCAAC
rnacentral:lncRNA from 1 species